rnacentral:rRNA from 1 species
GGAAAGGGGGCCCGCUGAAGCAUGAGAGUGGAGCGGACUGAAGGGAGCUUGCUCCCGGAUGUUAGCGGCGGACGGGUGAGUAACACGUGGGUAACCUGCCUGUAAGACUGGGAUAACUCCGGGAAACCGGAGCUAAUACCGGAUAGUUCCUUGAACCGCAUGGUUCAAGGAUGAAAGACGGUUUCGGCUGUCACUUACAGAUGGACCCGCGGCGCAUUAGCUAGUUGGUGGGGUAAUGGCUCACCAAGGCGACGAUGCGUAGCCGACCUGAGAGGGUGAUCGGCCACACUGGGACUGAGACACGGCCCAGACUCCUACGGGAGGCAGCAGUAGGGAAUCUUCCGCAAUGGACGAAAGUCUGACGGAGCAACGCCGCGUGAGUGAUGAAGGUUUUCGGAUCGUAAAGCUCUGUUGUUAGGGAAGAACAAGUGCGAGAGUAACUGCUCGCACCUUGACGGUACCUAACCAGAAAGCCACGGCUAACUACGUGCCAGCAGCCGCGGUAAUACGUAGGUGGCAAGCGUUGUCCGGAAUUAUUGGGCGUAAAGGGCUCGCAGGCGGUUUCUUAAGUCUGAUGUGAAAGCCCCCGGCUCAACCGGGGAGGGUCAUUGGAAACUGGGAAACUUGAGUGCAAAGAGGAGAGUGGAAUUCCACGUGUAGCGGUGAAAUGCGUAGAGAUGUGGAGGAACACCAGUGGCGAAGGCGACUCUCUGGUCUGUAACUGACGCUGAGGAGCGAAAGCGUGGGGAGCGAACAGGAUUAGAUACCCUGGUAGUCCACGCCGUAAACGAUGAGUGCUAAGUGUUAGGGGUUUCCGCCCCUUAUGCUGCAGCUAACGCAUUUAGCACUCCGCCGGGGAGUACGGUCGCAGAACUGAAACUCAAGGAAUUGACGGGGGCCCGCAAAGCGGUGGAGCAUGGUGGUUAAUUCGAACACCCAAGAACCUUACCAGGUCUGGAUCCUCUACAACCCUAGAAAUAGGCUUUCCUUUCGGGGACGAAUUGACAGGGGGUGGGAUGGU